rnacentral:rRNA from 1 species
GACGAACGCUGGCGGCGUGCUUAACACAUGCAAGUCGAACGGAAAGGCCCUGCUUUUGUGGGGUGCUCGAGUGGCGAACGGGUGAGUAACACGUGAGUAACCUGCCCUUGACUUUGGGAUAACUUCAGGAAACUGGGGCUAAUACCGGAUAGGAGCUCCUGCUGCAUGGUGGGGGUUGGAAAGUUUCGGCGGUUGGGGCUGGACUCGCGGCUUAUCAGCUUGUUGGUGGGGUAGUGGCUUACCAAGGCUUUGACGGGUAGCCGGCCUGAGAGGGUGACCGGCCACAAUGGGACUGAGAUACGGCCCAGACGCCUACCGGAGGCAGCAGGGGGGAAUAUUGCACAACGGGGGGAAGCCUGAUGCAGCAACGCCGGGUGCGGGAUGACGGGCUUUGGGUUGUAAACCGCUUUCGCCUGUGACGAAGCGUGCGUGACGGUAAUGGGUAAAGAAGCACCGGCUAACUACGUG